UUUCUGACCUUGCUUCCUUCUUCUCCUCCUUGCUUCAUCUCUUUCUUCUUUUGCUGAAUUGGAACAAUGAGAAGUGAGGAGGUUUUGGCUUAGCUCAAGCGAAAUUGAAGCUUCAAUGGCUUCUUUGAGAGAGAAAUAGAGCUCUGGUGAGGGUGAGGGAAGAGAUUGUAGAGAGUGAUUGCAUUGAAUUACACAGGGUUUCCAAGCCUCUCAUAAUGAGAGAGGUGAAUUAUUUAAAUAGAUUUUAGGUUUGGAACUUGUUAGCUUUUGGAUUUAGGUAUGGAGUUGGUUAAAUGUGGUUAGGAGUUAGUUGGACAUGACUCACUGAGUUAACUGAAAACUCAGUUGGUUAAUGAAUGGGAAACUCAGUUAGUUAUGUUAGUUUGAGUUGGCUAAUGAAUGAGUGGAAUGAAACUUGACUGGCUGCUGCAGGUUAGGAUCAGAUUGAGGUUAUAUUGGAAUGGUUUUUAAUGACCUACUAUUCAUGUUGCAGGUGUAGCAGCCUGUUAAGGGACCUGUUAAAAGUCAUAAGCUAUACACCUGCUAUAUGAAUGUGUAGUCGGUUUUGAAUUGGCGACUUGUGGUCGUGUGGCGGAAUUUCUGGUUUUUGUGGUAUGCACUUGUUGUAGGGAGCCACCAUUGAAGUGAGUUUUAUGGUUGAAAAUGAGCUUCGCUCCGUCAUGUUUUGGAGUCCUGCGGUUCUCUGGUAUUUGAAAACAACAAACCUCCCCACCCUUCAUAAAUUAAGAGAGCAAUUCCUUACCUGAUCUCAAUUAUAUUCACAACUGAAACUAACCACCGAUCCCGACAAUGCAUUGGUUCAGGAAGUCUGUGUAUGCCUGUUUAUCGUUUCGAAAUGUUUGGAAUCUUACACGCGAGUAUGGCGAUGUCUGAACUAGUGCCAGUUGUAGCUGAUCUUGGCAGCGCCGACAUUCAUUUCCAGGAUGACAUAUGUUAUACAGUGUGUUAGCAUAGGAAAUGACAGAUGAUGAAGCAAUUCUAACUGUUGGUGACACUCCGAUAAUGGAACAAAAACACCAAUUCCAAAGGAGUACAGACACCUCGGUGGUUAGGAACGACGAACAUUAAAGGAAGGAUCCUUGCCGUCAGAUUUGCGGUGCUUUGUUUAUGUUGUGGAUCUUAUGCAGGAAGGAUUCUUUGAUUUUCCUGUUUCUUAAUGUCAGUAUUUGGUGUCAUCCAACUCGCAUAUUAGCAACGGCGCAUACUGCUCAUCUGAUAUGGCGCUGACAAGGAUGAACCAGUAGUUUAUGAAAAGGUUUGAUAAUUCAUGCUCUUAUUUACACUUGAAUUGUAUGACGAGCCGGACAUGCGUUUGCAAAUUUUCCUUAUUUAUGAGUGUAACAGCCACCCACGUUGAUCCAAAGUGAAGACCGACACGCCUUGCAUACGGAACCGACAUUGUUGUUCUGCAAACAAAUUAUGGUCGAUUCAAGCUAAAGACACUAAAGGCAUGCAACUUGAUGCUACACUUGACGACCAAUCCACCUUCAAGAAUCAAUUUCUAAGAGUGUCGACAGUACCCAAUUGUGCAACGUGGUUCCUCUAGUAAUCACUGUACUAUUUUGCCAUGGCCCAUCUCAUCACCUAAAAUUCCCAAUGAUCCAACGUUGAUGGUCUCUCAACGUACCUUAUGAAGUAACAUGAUGUUCCUCCUUUUUUGUAACAUGUACAUAUUUGUGGAGAAAAAAUACAUGCGCUGCUUAUUAACAGAUUGGAAAGUGCACUUUUUUUUAUAUAGAAUUGGAUUUUUGUAAUGAUUUUGUAAUGUAAUGCUUGUAGUUUGAAAUGAAAAAUGAAUCGGAAUGCAAAUGUGUAU